UCUGGGACCCACUUGUGAGCACGGAUGACAUGGGCAGCACAGGGUUCCAAUCGCCAGGUGAACCAUAUAGCCCUCCCACAGACCAAGACACAGACGAAAGCACAGGGUUUCAGUCACCGCAGGAACCGUAUAGCCCUCCCACAGACCAAGAUAUGGAUUUUCAGUGGACUAUUCAAGAAGCUGCUGAACCUGUGCAGCCUAGGACAAGUUCCCAGUCCCGAUUGGUAAGACUUGCGGCAUCAGACCACAUAAGCUGUCA